UGGGGAAUAUUGCACAAUGGGCGCAAGCCUGAUGCAGCCAUGCCGCGUGUGUGAAGAAGGUUUUCGGAUCGUAAAGCUCUGUUGUAAGAGAAGAACGUGUGUGAGAGUGGAAAGUUCACACAGUGACGGUAACUUACCAGAAAGGGACGGCUAACUACGUGUCAG
rnacentral:rRNA from 1 species